rnacentral:lncRNA from 1 species
CAGAGACUGUGAGAGAGAGACAGACAGAGAGAAAGACAGAGAGACAGAGAGAGACAGAGAGAGAUUGAUUUGAAAUAAUUUCUCUUUCCUUUUGGUAGGUGUGAGCAUCUUUCAUUUUUGUCCCCUGAAGUGUUCUAGGUGCUUUCUGAAAAAUCUCCUGACCAGCAAGUCUCCCACUGGUCAACCAGAUCUGCUCACCUGUGAAUCAGAACUAAGAGUGUCAACGACAUGAUUUGCUGAAGAAUAAUACCCAGGAUUCAAACAAUAUGCAAAAGCAAGGAGCAGAGUGUUGGCCCAGAAGUUCCCCCUGACAUAGAGGACUACCAAUCUGGAGGGUCUUGAAGCCAGCCAAACUAGAGGUGUUCUUCAUGUCCUGUUGUGCUGCCUGUGCCCUGGACUACUUGCUGCCUGACCCUACCUGCACUUAGGUUGAAAGUGAGGUGGCUCAGAAGCAACAACACAGACUCUGCAAGCAGUUCCAGCCAGGGUGCUGCCAUUGCCUCAAGAUUGUUGACCCCACCCUGGAUGAUCCCCACUAUACUGGACUGUGCUGUCAGUUGUCCUGUCUUCCAGGAUCUUACCUGUCAUUGACUACCAGUCCUCAAAGAGAUAUCACUCUGGAAGCAUGUCAUACAAGAGGAUUAGGAACAGCUUACAUGGUGGUCUCAUGGAUCUCUGCCAUCCAAGCUUUGAUCACUUCCUUGGGAGGGGGUAUAAUAAGGACUUUUGAGAGCCAUCAGCACCUGGAAGGUCAUCCCAUUUAUGAAGUGCUGCCUAGAGUUAUGUUGUGCAAGACACUUCAAGAAAAUAAUUAUUAGGGUGACAAUUCCUCCCAUCAUAUCUUAAGAGGUUUCCCGGUUAUAAGGAGCAAAAUAGCCUCUUAAUAUUGCUCCACACUUUCCCCAAGAAUACCACAACUAGGGAAAGCACAGAUACCCUAGUUGCAUUGAGGUUGACUAUAUGCUCCCUUAAGGGUACAGAAUCAUUAAGGGAUUUGUCUGGCCAGGUACCUUCAAGAUAUUGAGCCAACUGUUGUUGGGCUUAAGUGGUGUAACGUACCUGGUAAUGACCUAGGCAAAUUAAGUGAAAUGGUUCCCAUGCCAAUAGAGACAUGUUCCUAACAAGGUCCAACUCUUCUGCCAGUAAGUCAAUCUGUUGUUGUAAAUUGUGGAUGGAUUAAUAAAGAUGUUGAUUUAGUACCUCCUGCACCUGUGGUGCCUCAGCUGACUUAGAGACUACAACAGCAUUGACAGUCUCCACCAUAGUGGCUGUCUGCGUCAAGGCAACAGGAGCUGUUGUCACCCUGGCAAUGCUUGUAAUGAUGGCCACAAUGAUGACAGCUGUAAUACCAAAAUCCCUUUCCCUGUGUAGGGGUUAUAAGUGAGUCUGGGUCAUCAGAGUGCCAGCAUGAAAGAUGGUGGUAUUUACCACACUUAUCCAAAUGGUAACUGGUUCCUUCAUCAGGUUCCCUCAUCCUCCAUGGGCCAGAUGCCUUCUAAUCCUCAUGUAGUAGUGACUAAGUCCAUGAAUGGCAACCCAAACUCACAUUGAAAGAGGAGAGAACAGGGUAGUAUGGGGAGUUAACUGCCACUGGCAUAAGAAUGGAGGGCAGGGCCACCAAAGCCCAGAGUUCAUAGGCUUUCCCAGGCUGAAAAAAAUUAAUAAACAGUAUGUACAUUUCGGCUCCACAUCCUGCUCUUUUUCUGGGUCCUUUAUUGGCCUCUGGUCUAUGGCUGGUAAGAAUGUCAAAAAUAACAUUUAGGUUGAGAGUUCCACAUUUUUAUCUGAAGGUUGCUAGCAGAAUACUUGAUUCCAGGCAGCUUGAAUGAGGGUCUUAAAGCCCACACCCACAGGGACACACAUACUCCAACAGGGCCACAACUUCUAAUGGUCCCACUCCUUGGGCCAAGCAUAUACAAACUAUCACACCCACCAUUGAGAAAGAUGGCCAU